AUUGAACGCUGGCGGUAUGCUUUACACAUGCAAGUCGGACGAGUGGCGAACGGGUGAGUAAUCUAUAGGAACGUACCAAGUAAUGGGGGAUAACUAAUCGAAAGAUUAGCUAAUACCGCAUAAUAUUCGAGGGGCCGAUAUCUGAUUAGCUGGUUGGUGGGGUAAAGGCCUACCAAGGCGACGAUCAAUAGCGGGUCUGAGAGGAUGCACAGCCACACUGGAACUGAGACACGGCCCAGACUCCUACGGGAGGCAGCAGUGGGGAAUUUUGCACAAUGGGCGCAAGCCUGAUGCAGCCAUGCCGCGUGUCUGAAGAAGGCCUUCGGGUUGUAAAGUACUUUCGUCAGGGAAGCGUUACCUGCAGAAUAAGCACCGGCUAACUACGUGCCAGCAGCCGCGGUAAUUC
rnacentral:rRNA from 1 species